rnacentral:rRNA from 1 species
GAUGAACGCUAGCGGGAGGCUUAACACAUGCAAGUCGAGGGGCAGCAUAGGGUAGCAAUACUCUGAUGGCGACCGGCAAACGGGUGAGUAACGCGUAUGCAACCUACCCUGUACAGGGGGAUAACCCGGAGAAAUUCGGACUAAUAUCCCGUAAUAAUAUCCGGAGGCAUCUUUGGAUAUUUAAAGUUUCGACGGUGCGGGAUGGGCAUGCGUAACAUUAGCUGGUUGGUAAGGUAACGGCUUACCAAGGCUAUGAUGUUUAGGGGUCCUGAGAGGGUGGUCCCCCACACUGGUACUGAGACACGGACCAGACUCCUACGGGAGGCAGCAGUGAGGAAUAUUGGUCAAUGGGCGCAAGCCUGAACCAGCCAUCCCGCGUGCAGGAAGACGGCCCUAUGGGUUGUAAACUGCUUUUCCAGGGAGAGAAACUUACGCACGUGUUGCGUGACUGACGGUACCCUGGGAAUAAGCAUCGGCUAACUCCGUG